rnacentral:rRNA from 1 species
UACGUAGGGUGCAAGCGUUAAUCGGAAUUACUGGGCGUAAAGCGUGCGCAGGCGGUUUUGUAAGUCUGUCGUGAAAUCCCCGGGCUCAACCUGGGAAUUGCGAUGGAGACUGCAAGGCUAGAAUCUGGCAGAGGGGGGGUAGAAUUCCACGUGUAGCAGUGAAAUGCGUAGAGAUGUGGAGGAACACCGAUGGCGAAGGCAGCCCCCCUGGGUCAAGAUUGACGCUCAUGCACGAAAGCGUGGGGAGCAAACAGG